CAGAGGGUCUUCACCCCCACCUGCAUAGUCACAGGGCAGAAAAGAAACACAUUUUGGCAGAGAAGAGUGGGAUAGGAGGAGGUGGCCACGGAGCCUGAAGCAGAAAGACACAGAUGCCCAGAUAGUGGAACGCCACAUGGUGACUAAGGCAGUGGGCAGUCUGGGCAGAUGCGAAUAUAGUGAGGAGGUCGCUGCAGCCCCCCAGCUCCACCUGCCCACACUGACUGCAGACAAGGCCCCCGAAUGACAGGUGUCCUUUGGAAAGCUGGAACAGACUCUGAGGGAAGAUGUCGUAAUAGAAAAUGAGUGGCCUGCGGCUGGGACGCCA
rnacentral:lncRNA from 1 species